AUUGAACGCUGGCGGCAUGCCUUACACAUGCAAGUCGAACGGCAGCACGGGAGCAAUCCUGGUGGCGAGUGGCGAACGGGUGAGUAAUAUAUCGGAACGUGCCCAGUAGUGGGGGGAUAGCCCGGCGAAAGCCGGAUUAAUACCGCAUACGACCUGUGGGUGAAAGCGGGGGGAUCGCAAGACCUCGCGCUAUUGGAGCGGCCGAUAUCAGAUUAGCUAGUUGGUGGGGUAAAGGCCUACCAAGGCGACGAUCUGUAGCUGGUCUGAGAGGACGACCAGCCACACUGGGACUGAGACACGGCCCAGACUCCUACGGGAGGCAGCAGUGGGGAAUUUUUGGGACAAUGGGCGCAAGCCUGAUCCAGCCAUGCCGCGUGUGGGAAG
rnacentral:rRNA from 1 species